CUACGGGGGGCUGCAGUGAGGAAUUUUGCGCAAUGGGGGGAACCCUGACGCAGCAACGCCGCGUGAGUGAUGAAGGCUUUCGGGUCGUAAAGCUCUGUCAAGUGGGAAGAACCUAUGCAGUGUUAAUAUCACUGUAUACUGACGGUACCACUGAAGGAAGCACCGGCUAACUCCGUGCCAGCAGCCGCGGUAAUACGGGGGGUGCAAGCGUUAUUCGGAAUCGUUGGGCGUAAAGGGCACGUAGGCGGCUUGGUAAGUCAGAUGUGAAAGCCCGGGGCUUAACCCCGGAAGUGCAUUUGGUACUGUCAGGCUUGAGUAUGGGAGAGGGAAGUGGAAUUCCUGGUGUAGAGGUGAAAUUCGUAGAUAUCAGGAGGAACACCGGUGGCGAAGGCGACUUCCUGGACCAAUACUGACGCUGAGGUGCGAAGGCGUGGGUAGCAAACAGGAUUAGAUACCCGAGUAGUC
rnacentral:rRNA from 1 species